GGCAGAUGACGACAAUUCUUGGUGAUAAUGCUGAACGCAACUAACAUCACGAAAUUAGACAAAAAAUCGAGAAAUCGGUCCAUAUGGCAGCUGUAUCCAGCUGCAGCCAAACUGAAUAAGGAUGUCAACUAGUAUAACACAACUCAAUGUCUCAAAUUUCAGAAAAAUCGGAUAAUAAAUGUGGCUUUUAUGGGUCUAAGACCCAAAAUCGGCA